rnacentral:tRNA from 1 species
ACCUGGCUGGCUCAAUAGAGCGUGAGACUCUUGAUCUCAGGGUUGUGAGUUUGAGCCCUAUGCUAGACA